AGAAAGUUUGAUCCUGGCUCAGGACGAACGCUGGCGGCGUGCCUAAUACAUGCAAGUCGAGCGGACAGAUGGGAGCUUGCUCCCUGAUGUUAGCGGCGGACGGGUGAGUAACACGUGGGUAACCUGCCUGUAAGACUGGGAUAACUCCGGGAAACCGGGGCUAAUACCGGAUGGUUGUUUGAACCGCAUGGUUCAAACAUAAAAGGUGGCUUCGGCUACCACUUACAGAUGGACCCGCGGCGCAUUAGCUAGUUGGUGAGGUAACGGCUCACCAAGGCGACGAUGCGUAGCCGACCUGAGAGGGUGAUCGGCCACACUGGGACUGAGACACGGCCCAGACUCCUACGGGAGGCAGCAGUAGGGAAUCUUCCGCAAUGGACGAAAGUCUGACGGAGCAACGCCGCGUGAGUGAUGAAGGUUUUCGGAUCGUAAAGCUCUGUUGUUAGGGAAGAACAAUACCGUUCGAAUAGGCGGUACCUCUGACG
rnacentral:rRNA from 1 species